rnacentral:rRNA from 1 species
AUGUCGGACGACCGCCUUGCAAGCGUGGCCACCCUGUCCAGCCGCACUGCCGUCGCCAUCCGUGACGUCGUCCCUCCAGCGGCACAAGGAUGCUGGAGGACCGCGACAACCUUGUCCGGCGUCUGCCUGCCACUCGCGGAGGAGCCGCUCCACCUCCUGUUGCAUGGUGCGAAGGGCCGCCUUGGCCAGUGCCGACGGUGCCGGCGAAGCCCUAGCGGUGGCCUUGCCCCUGCCGGUGUUGGUGGAGCAGUACCUAAGCGAUCACUCCUCACCGAUCUUGGCGAGUUCCCCGUCAAGGCGGCGGCGGCACCUAAUAGUUGUCUUCGCGGUGGUGAUAGAGCGAUCGGGCACCCAUCCGGCGGCGAGAUAAGAGUCGUUACUGACCCAUUUCGGCGCCACGUCCGUCUUGGCGAACAUGUAGUGGCGACCGGCACUGCGCCGGUCGUACCUUGCCUGCCGCCUCAUCGCGUGCUCCGCCGCGCAUACCACAGCCCAAGAGCCAAAGGGACCGCCGUAAUCGCCUCCUCGGCCAUGCGCUUUCGCGAUCGUUUGGGCGCGCGGUCCGAAUCGCCAACUCGCGCUGUAUAUUUGGGGCGCCCGCUUCCGCGCGCGGCAGACACGAGCGCUCGCGCCGCACACUCUCCUCCCCGCCACCUUCGCCCCGCGCGCGCCGGCGCCGGCGAACUGGACCCGAUGGACGCACGCGCCGGCACCCCGCUCACCCCAUCCUACAGCCGCGACCCCUCCACCGUCGCUGCCGCCACCGCCGUUGCCGCCGCAAACCCUAGCGCGGGGAGCAAGAACAAGGCGGCGGACAGCUCCGGCACCUCGACGGUGAGGAGGAAGAAGCUUGCAGGGCGUGUGACGGGCGCGGCGGCUACCGAAGCGCCGGCGAGCUCACUCGUUGAGCGGGCGGCCGACGCGCACAACGUGUUCGACGAUAUGCCCCAAAGUCUCAACGAUGAUGCAUACAUGUCAACUAUGGGUGUUGGCUCCAACAAUUCGCAUUGGUCUCAAACCAAUGACAUGCAUUUCGAAGACCAUGAGUUCGAGGUGGACGAGGAUGGUGAGGGCAUUGUCAACGCGCCGAAAGGAAGAGCGGGCAAUUACACCAACGUCGAAGACAUCUUACUAUGCAAUACUUGGUUGCAAGUGUCGAGGGAUCCAUCCGUUGGAGGUGAUCAAAGUAGAGAUGCUUAUUGGGGGCGGAUGAAAGAACACUUUGAUGUUCGCAACGUGAGUGGAAUUGACCGCUCCGAGCGAUCUCUUCGGUCCCGGUGGUCGACAAUCAACAAGGAUUGUCAAAAGUGGGCGGCCGCACAAAAGGCGGUUGACAAGUUGAACCCAAGUGGCACCAAUGAGGAUGAUAGAUACAACAUUGCACAAAACUUGUUCAAAGGAGAGGAGAAGAGAACCAAGAAGGGGAAGAUCAAGAAAGGAAGGAUAUUUACCUUGCCUCAUUGCUAUGAAGUGUUCAAGGAUGAUGAGAAAUGGAAGAAGCGUGAUUCAAAGCCAAAACAACCGGAUGGGUGCAAGAAAGACGCAAAAGAAAAGAAGAAGAGGAAAGGAGAUGAUGAGCUCAAAAAUGCUAUGGAAGCUAUUGUGAAGGCAAGAAAAGAAGCCAACAAGGUGAGGAAAAUGGCAAGGAACCAAGAUGCCGUGGCCGAGGAGAGGAGGGUGGCGGCCGAGGAGAGGAAGGUGGCUUUGGAGGAGAGGAAGGUGAGCAAUGAGGAGCGAAUUAGAUUGUUGGAAUGGGAGAAGCACUUAUUCUUCUUAGACACAUCUAUCCUCAAUGAGGCGCAAAAGGAGUGGGUCAAUCUUGCCCUGAAGAAGUCUUGA